UGGGGAUUAGCUUAGCCAGGCCCAAAGCACCGCGCUCUGAACGCGGCAUCGGCGGUUCAAAUCCGUCAUCCCCUGCCA
rnacentral:tRNA from 1 species